rnacentral:lncRNA from 1 species
AUGAACUCCCUGAUGUUCAAGCUGGUUUUAGAAAAGGCAGAGGAACCAGAGAUCAAAUUGCCAACCAUCUGCUGGAUCACUGAAAAAGCAAGAGAGUUCCAGAAAAACAUCUAUUUCUGCUUUAUUGACUAUGCCAAAGCCUUUGACUGUGUGGAUCACAAUAAACUGUGGAAAAUUCUGAAACAGAUGAGAAUACCAGACCACCUGACCUGCCUCUUGAGAAACCUAUAUGCAGGUCAGGAAGCAACAGUUAGAACUGGACAUGGAACAACAGACUGGUUCCAGAUAGAAGAAGGAGUUCGUCAAGGCUGUACAUUGUUAUCCUGCUUAUUUAACUUAUAUGCAGAGUACAUCAUGAGAAACGCUGGGCUGGAGGAAGCACAAGCUGGAAUCAAGAUUGCUGGAAGAAAUAUCAAUAACCUCAGAUAUGCAGAUGACACCACCCUUAUGGCAGAAAGUGAAGAGGAACUAAAAAGCCUCUUGAUGAAAGUGAAAGAGGAGAGUGAAAAAGUUGGCUUAAAGCUCAACAUUCAGAAAACUAAGAUCAUGGCAUCUGGUCCCAUCACUUCAUGGGAAAUAGAUGGGGAAACAGUGGAAACAGUGUCAGACUUUAUUUUGGGGGGCUCCAAUAUCACUGCAGAUGAUGAUUGCAGCCAUGAAAUUAGAAGACACUUACUCCUUGGAAGAAAAGUUAUGACCAACCUAGAUAGCAUGUUGAAAAGCAGAGACAUUACUUUGCCAACAAAGGUCCGUCUAGUCAAGGCUAUGUUUUUUCCUGUGGUCAUGUAUGGAUGUAAGAGUUGGACUGUGAAGAAAACUGAGCACCAAAGAAUUGAUGCUAUUGAACUGUGGUGUUGGAGAAGACUCUUGAGAGUCCCUUGGACUGCAAGGAGAUCCAACCAGUCCAUUCUAAAGGAGAUCAGUCCUGGAUGUUCUUUGGAAGGAAUGAUGCUAAAGCUGAAACUCCAAUACUUUGGCCACCUCAUGCGAAGAGUUGACUCAUUGGAAAAGACCCUGAUGCUGAGAAAGAUUGAAGACAGGAGAAGAAGGGGAUGA